rnacentral:rRNA from 1 species
CCUACGGGCGGCAGCAGUGGGGAAUAUUGGGCAAUGGGCGCAAGCCUGACCCAGCAACGCCGCGUGAAGGAAGAAGGCUUUCGGGUUGUAAACUUCUUUUGUCAGGGACGAAGCAAGUGACGGUACCUGACGAAUAAGCCACGGCUAACUACGUGCCAGCAGCCGGGGUAAUACGUAGGUGGCAAGCGGUAUCCGGAUUUACUGGGGGGAAAUGGCGUGUAGGCGGGACUGCAAGUCAGAUGUGAAAACCACGGGCUCAACCUGUGGCGUGCAUUUGCACCUGUAGGUCUUGAGUACUGGAGAGGCAGACGGAAUUCCUAGUGUAGCGGUGAAAUGCGUAGAUAUUAGGAGGAACACCAGUGGCGAAGGCGGUCUGCUGGACAGCAACUGACGCUGAGGCGCGAAAGCGUGGGGAGCAAACAGGAUUAGAUACCCUUGUAGUC